rnacentral:rRNA from 1 species
UACAGAGGGUGCGAGCGUUAAUCGGAAUUACUGGGCGUAAAGCGCACGUAGGUGGCGACGUAAGUCGGGUGUGAAAGCCCCGGGCUCAACCUGGGAAUUGCAUUCGAGACUGCAUUGCUGGAGUACGGAAGAGGAAGGCGGAAUUCCCGGUGUAGCGGUGAAAUGCGUAGAUAUCGGGAGGAACGCCCGUGGCGAAAGCGGGCUCCUGGACCCCACCUGACCGCGUGAGACGCGAAAGCCAGGGGAGCGAACGGG